AAACAAAUAGGUUCAUAAACAUAGAGAACAGACUGGUGGUUGCCAUAGGGGAGUGAGGUGAAGGGAUGGGUGAAAUAGGUAAAUGAGAAAAAGAGGUAUAAACUUAAAAUUAUAAAAUAAAUUAGUCCUAGGGAUGAAUGCACAGUAUAGGGAAUACAGUCAAUAAUAUUGUAAUAUCUUUGUAUGUUGACAGAUGGUAACUACACUUAAAGUGGUCAGCAUUUAGUAAUGUACAUAACUGUCAAAUCACUAUGUUGUAUAUACCUGAAACCAAUAUAAUACCAUACAUCAGCUAUAUUUCAAUUUAAAAAAUUUAAAUCACUUUUUCAUUAGUAUCAAAAAACAAUAAAUGACAAGCCAAAAUUGAUAACAGACUUAUAGUAUUAUGCCAGUAAGACAAACUUGCUCAAAGAUGGACAUCUGCCCUCAGAAUAUAUUUUGCAACUAAGGGGAAAUGUGUUCUUUUUCCUGUAUUUCUAAAAUAAAGAGGCUGAUUUUUUGCUGUAGAAAAGUGCUUAUGUACAACUUAAAAGAUAGUCACAUUUAAGACUAACAUAACAAUACCUUGUUUUUGCAUAUCUGCAUAUCCACUUUCUCAGAAAGCUUCCAAGUAAUUUCUUGAAAAGUAAUUGUCCACAAUAAAAAGCCAAUUGCUGUUACAUACUAUUGAAAUGUUUUACAUGUUCUACUUCUAUUUUUUAUUUUUUUAAGUAUCUUUUUUAUUGAAGUAUAGUUGAUACAUAAUAUUAUAUUGGUUUCAAGUAUACAAUGAUUCAACAGUUACACAUAAGUCAUCCUCACCCCAACUAGAGUGGUUACUAUCAGUCAACACAGAAAGAUGUUACAGAAUCAUGGGAUAUAUUCUCCAUGCUGCACUUCCAUCCCUAUGAUUAACUUGUGUUAUGAUUGAUACUUUGUGGCCCUUAUCCCCCUCACCUACACUACCUGCCUACCUCAACCCCUCCCCCAUGAUAAUCAUCAGUCACUUCCCAAUGUCUAUGAGUCUACUGCUCUUUGGUCAUUUUGUUUUUGAUUUUAGAUUCCACACAUAAAUGAAAUUAUAUGGCAUUUGUCUUUCUCCACUCAGCUUAUUUCACUUAGCAUGAUACCCUCUAGGUCUAUGCAAGUUGUCACAAAUGGCAGUAUUUCUUUCUUUUUUGUGGCUGAAUAAUGUUCCAUUGCAUAAAUGUACCACAUUUUAUUUCUAUACUCAUCUAUAGAUACUUUGGUUGCUUCUAUAUCUUGGCUAUUGUAAAUAAUGCAUCAAUAAACAUAGGGGUGCAUAUAUCUUCUCAAAUCAGAGAUUUUGUUUUCUUCAGGUAAAUUCCUAGAAGUGGAGUUACUAGGUUAUAUGCUAUUUCUAUUUUUAGUUUUUUGAGGAACCUCCAUAAUGGCUGCACCAAUUUACAUUCCCACCAACAGACUAGGAGGGCUCCCUUUUCUCCACAUCCUCGCCAACACUUGUUAUUUCUUAUCUUUUGGAUAGUGGCAAAUCUGACUGGUAUGAGGUGGCAUCUCAUUGUGGUUUUGAUUUGCAUUUCCCUGAUGAUUAGCAAUGUGGAGGAUCUUUUCAUGUGCCUGUUGGCCGUCUGUAUUUCUUCUCUGGAGAAAUGUAUGUUCAGGUCCUCUGCCCAGUUUUUAAUCAGGUUGUUUUUUUGGUGUUGAGGUGUAUGAGUUCUUUAUAUAUUUUGAAUGUUAACCUCUUAUGAGAUAAGUUGUUUAUGAAUAUAUUCUCUCAUACUGUAGGUUGCUUUUUUGUUUUGUUGAUGGUGUCUGUUGUUGUAUAGAAGCUUUUUAGUUUGAUACAGUCCCACUUGUUCAUUUUUGCUUUUGUUUCCCUUGCCCGGGAAAACAUAUCCUGAAAAAGACUGCUCAUGCUUUAUUCAAGGGAUUUUGGGCCUAUGUUUUUUCCUAAGAGUUUGUGGUUUCACGUCUUUUAUUUAGGUCUUUAAUUCACUUUGAGUUCACUUUUGUGUAUGAACUUGGAUGGUAAACCAGACAGUUUCAUUCUCUUGCACGUAGCUGUCCAGUUUUCCCAACACCAUUGAAGAGACUGUCUUUUUCCUAUUGCAUAUUUAUGGCUCCUUUAACAUAUUUAAUUGACCAUAUAUGUGUGGGUUUAUUUCUGGGCUCUCUGUUCUGUUCCACUGAUCUAUGCAUCUGUUCUUGUGCAAGGGCCAUACUGUUUUGAUUACUGUAGCUUUGUAUUAUAGCUUGAAUUCAGGGAGUGUAAUACCCCCAGUUGCUCCUCUUUCUCAGGAUUGGUUUGGUUAUUCAAGGUCUUUGUGGUUCCAUAUGAAUUUUAGGAUUACUGGCUCUAGCUCACUGAAAAAUGCCAUUGGUAUUUAGAUAGGGAUUGCAUUCAAUCUGUAAAUUGCUUUGGGUUAGGAUGGCCAUUUUGACAAUAAUAAUUCUUCCUAUCCAUAAGCAUGGGACAGAUUUCUGUUAUUCAUAUCUUCUUUAAUUUAUCAGUGUCUUACAGUUUUUUCAGAGCACAGGUCUUUCAUCUCCUUGGUUAUGUUUAUUCCUAGGAAUUUUAUUCUUUUUGAUGCAACUGUAAAUUUUCCUGACUUUUCUUUCUUCUCCAUCUGCUGAACCAAGUGAGAUUUAUUCCAGGGAUGCAAGGAUGAUACAUUAUUUGUAAAUCAAUCAGUUAGUCAUCAUAAACUAAAUUCUGUCACAAGUAACCCUAAAAUAUCACUAAGACAAAAGUUUAUCUUCCUUACAUCAGUCAUCUGGUAGUUCUACCAUCUUCUAGGGUCUCAGAAACCUCCUACCGGUUUUUACUAGGUACUGACAGAAGAGAGAAAAAAUGAAAGACUGGUGAGAAUUUAGACACCAAGCCUUGAAGUGAUAUUUAUCACUACAACCUAUAUUUUACUGACCAGAGCUCAGAUACAUAGCAUACCUAACUAUGAGGAUGCUAGAAGUGGUAUGGUGAUAGGCCCAGAAGGAACAGGAGAAAAACAAAUAGAAGUCCUAGCCUUACUGUGCAUCUGUAAUACACCAGUGGAAUUUGAGACAGCACCCCAAAAUCAACCUCACUAUAUAUGCAGUGAAACAUCCACACUAAGUGGGACAAAUACAGAUGAUAAUAAGAAAGGUAACAAAAAGCCUCACAUUAAUGUAGGGUAGGUGUUUCCAACAAGUAAGUUUUGGUGUCAAACUUUUUUUGACAAAACUUUAGGUUCAGAGGAUUUCAGAAUUGCAGAUAAGGGAUUAUGAAUGUGCAUUAUUAGCAUAUUAUACAAAUGAAGAAACCUCUAAAAACAGCACCAAGAAAGUAGAAAUGGGACUUAAACUCAGGCCUGUGACUCACAUGUUUAUGCUCAUGAUGCAGGGAAAACUGCAAAUGACAAAUGUCUCUUAUUAUUUUAGACAUUGGUGAUGCUAUCAGCCCCUAGACACGAAGAAACCAAGGGGAGAUAUUUCAGUAAAUUCCUAUGUUUAUUGUGUCCUGUUCUGCACAAGCACUCACUGUACUAGCAGGCAGAGGGAGUACAAAUAAGAGAUAGUACCUGACCACAGAAAGUCAGGAUGUGGUAGAAAGAAGAUUUGGGAUACAUCCGGAGUGAAAAGCAGACUCUGAUAAAUGCUCCAGAAGUAAGAAAUUCUAAAAUGACUGAUUCUGAAGUGCAGAAUUAGGGAAGGCUCACAUAAAAGGUGAUGCCAUCAGAGACAGACCUAAAAGGAAACUCAGAAUUCUGAACAAGGAAGAAGUACUUUGGGCAGACAGGGAAUGCUGCACAAAGACACAGAGGUGGGAGGUAUUUAAAGGCCUGAAUAACGGUGAAUAAUUUUUGUUUGUUUGGCAGCAUCUGAAUGUUGGAGCAUCCAAAUUUUUAAUUUUACUUAGUUAUCAUCAAGAGGCCUGGGCAACUUAAGAUCAGUAAGUAAAAGAAGAUAAUGAGAGAUUCAAGGUUGGAGUGCCAUUUCUGUAGGUAAUGAUGUAAUUAAAUGAGAAAGAGAUUGUGAGAAGAAUUUAUCUGGGUCCAAGAACAGGAAAGGGAAAAUGUCUCUUAUUAUUUUAAGUUUUAAACAAGUUGAGAGUGAGGCAUUUGAAGCAUUAAUAAAGAGUUAUCUGUACGUUAUCUGAGUACUUGGACUUACAAAAUCUACUCUGGUUGCUAAGAGGCUUUUUAUGUUUACUUCUUAUAAUAAUGCUAACCUUCAGUUGAGAGGUUUUUGUACCAUAAUAUUUAGUAACCACUGGCUCUAUUCAUUCAGGAGAAAAAAUAAAUCUUAAUAACAAAGUAAAAUAAGUUGAGGAACAUGUACUGACUUGUAUUUCUACCACUUAUGUAGCAAUUUCCUUGUAUGUCAACACCAUUGUCCACAGCCCUGCAAUUUUUAAAGAGUUCUGGCCAAUGGGACGAAACACUAGCACAAUACAACUCAACUUCCCUGUAUGCUAGUUAAUAAGGAAAAGGAGUGAUGAAAAGAUGAAAUUCCUUUAAAGAAUAUACUUAAUGUGCUUCAAUGUGUGUAGUUUUUUAACGUAUUUUAAAAAAUCUUUGGAAACUCUGAAUUAAAGUAUUACUUUCAUGUGUAACCCUUUUCUUAUUAAGUUAGUUUUAUAGUAAUAAAGUUUAGCUUCUUUUCUAAGAGGUUAUUUUAAUUCUUUACUAGAAAUUAAUUUCCUGAAUGGUAGAUUCCUGAGUUAUCUUUAAUAUUUCAAAAUAAAGAUGCCCAGAAACUACCCUAUGAACAUAUAUACAUGACACAUUGAGAAAAAAAAAAACCAAAACAUCGAUCUCUAAUGUAUUUGAUUUUAAGUCAUGAUAAUCAAAGCUGGCAAAAUAGCAUAUUCCUCCAAGUAGAGUCAAUCCAGUGAAGAAAUUCACUAAUGUAUACAUGGAUAUGAGGAAUAAAAUAGUGGUAUUAAUUGGGUUCUUUAAGUAAGCAAGUAGAUUUUAGAUAGAAAGACUUCAUUUGAAUUUCUUGAUCUCUGCCAAAGACAUCUGUUUACACCAGUUGUUUGGAAUAUAUCUGACAGCACAUUUCCAGAGAGCAAACGGCAGGUCAGGUUCAUAACAUGUGACUUCCUCAUUGAUUAUAUUUAAACAGCACCCAGGAAGAAGCUAUAUUGCCCAUAGGACACCAGAGGAAGCCUGAAUUUUUUUCUAUUCAAAGAAAAAACAUCAAAAGGAAAAUGAUGCUCAAGUUAUCACUCAUUAGCCUGUUUCUCCUGUUUGUUGUUAAAACUGUUGGGGCAACUAUGCCACUGAUCAACUCAAGAUCUAUGGCAGUCUCGAGCUCCAGGACAAGUUUGGAUUCUAAGACAAUCCUGAAUUCCAAGACAACCCUAUAUUCCAACACAACCCCAAACUCCAAAAUGACCCCAAAUUCCAAGACAACCUCAAAUUUCAAGACUACUGCAAAUCUCCAAAUAACCUCAAAUCGCAAGAUUACUUCAAAUCCCAAGAUAACUACAAAAACAGUAAUGACCCCACAGGUACUCAGAACCCUGAAUAUGACAACUAAGAAAAGUGGUGGCACCAAACUGAAUCCAAUGGACAAUAAUGACUUUCUUUUGUACAUAAUAUUUUUGCUAUACUGUGUGCACUUGGGCUGAAGUGGAGUUUACUGUCUAUGUUUCUGUCUUAAGUUCAUUACUAUCUGUUGAAUACAACAACACACUAGGAAAAUCAAUUUAUUUCAACUUACUUCUUAGGAAAUUAUCAUUAUCCUAGCUUAAUUUGGUUGUUUGCAAAUUUUAAUUGUGUAAGUUUAAUUAAUACUUUAAUGAUUGUUUCCUUCCUUACAAAUGCUAAAACAAGCAAAGUACCACAUAUUUGCCCUUUAAAUGUUUUCAAACUUGACUUGAAACUCAGAUUUUUACAUUAAAGAUAUAAGAGAAGAAAUUACGUUGGAGACAUUUAACCAAAGUAUUGCCUCUGUGUGUGUAUGUGAGAGAGAGGGACAGAGGGUAGGAAAUGGGGUAUAAGGAGUGAUAUGUGUUGUUCUUAUUUAAUUUUUUAUUAAAUAGACAAAAAGUACUAAUCUGGUAAGGAGAAACUACAGUGCUCUAUAGGACAAUACACCUAUUUGUGUCACCGUAUUUCAUGAAUGUGCAAUAGUAAUAUGUUGUCAUAGUAAAAAAAGGUGCCAAUUCUGUUAUCCUUUGAAAUACAUGAUAUAGCUGCCCAAAUGUCAA